rnacentral:rRNA from 1 species
UACAGAGGGGGCAAGCGUUAUUCGGAAUUAUUGGGCGUAAAGGGCGCGUAGGCGGCCGUGCAAGUGGAUGGUGAAAUCCCCAGGCUCAACCUGGGAACUGCGUCCGAUACUGGAUGGCUUGAAUCCGGGAGAGGGAUGCAGAAUUCCAGGUGUAGCGGUGAAAUGCGUAGAUAUCUGGAGGAAUACCGGUGGCGAAGGCGGCAUCCUGGACCGGCAUUGACGCUGAGGAGCGAAAGCCAGGGGAGCAAACGGG